rnacentral:rRNA from 1 species
AACGGCGAGUGAACCGGGAUGAGCUCAAAUUUAAAAUCUGGCGUCUUUCAGGCGUCCGAGUUGUAAUCUAUAGAGGCGUUUUCCGCGCCGGACCGCGUCCAAGUCUCUUGGAAUAGAGUAUCAAAGAGGGUGACAAUCCCGUACUUGACGCGACAACCGGUGCUCUGUGAUACGUUCUCAAUGAGUCGAGUUGUUUGGGAAUGCAGCUCUAAAUGGGUGGUAAAUUCCAUCUAAGGCUAAAUAUUGGCGAGAGACCGAUAGCGAACAAGUACCGUGAGGGAAAGAUGAAAAGCACUUUGGAAAGAGAGUUAAACAGCACGUGAAAUUGUUAAAAGGGAAACGAUUGAAGUCAGUCGUGUGAAAGGUAUUCAGCCGUCUCUGGCGGUGUAUUUGCCUUUCACGGGUCAACAUCAGUUUGAUCCGGUAGAAAAAGGCGGGAGGAAGGUGGCACCCUCGGGUGUGUUAUAGCCUCCUGUCAUAUGUGCCGGACCAGACUGAGGAACGCAGCUUGCCGCAAGGCCGGGGUUCGCCCACGUACAAGCUUAGGAUGUUGACAUAAUGGCUUUAAACGA